UACAGAGGGGGCGAGCGUUGUUCGGAAUUACUGGGCGUAAAGGGCGCGUAGGCGGCCUUCUAAGUCGAACGUGAAAUCCCCGGGCUCAACCCGGGAACUGCGUCCGAUACUGGGAGGCUUGAAUCCGGGAGAGGGAUGUGGAAUUCCAGGUGUAGCGGUGAAAUGCGUAGAUAUCUGAAGGAACAUCAGUGGCGAAAGCGACUUCCUGGACCAAUACUGACGCUCAUGUGCGAAAGCGUGGGGAGCAAACAGG
rnacentral:rRNA from 1 species